rnacentral:rRNA from 1 species
CGGGACGGGGGAGUAAUGCUUGGGAAUCUGGCUUAUGGAGGGGGGUAACUACGGGAAACUGUAGCUAAUACCGCGUAAUAUCGAAAGAUUAAAGUGUGGGACCUUCGGGCCACAUGCCAUAGGAUGAGCCCAAGUGGGAUUAGGUAGUUGGUGAGGUAAAGGCUCACCAAGCCGACGAUCUCUAGCUGGUCUGAGAGGAUGACCAGCCACACUGGGACUGAGACACGGCCCAG